rnacentral:rRNA from 1 species
AGGUCUCCGGAGGCGAACUAGAAAAAGAAAUGUUAGCAGGAGGUGGUAACAAACUCUCCAAACCCCCAGAGUAACAAGGUCUCCGUAGGUGAACCUGCGGAGGGAUC